AGGUGAGGUACAGGUGUGGCUCAGGUGAGCUCAGGUGAGCUCAGGUGUGUGUCUGGGUCCCGCAGGGUGAAGGCAGCCCUGGCCCAGGAGCAGGACCCAGCGCGGCGGCAGGUGCUGGACGGGCGGCAGCUGGCACUGAAGGUCAGCGCCAACUCCGUGUACGGCUUCACCGGGGCACAGGCGGGCAGGCUGCCCUGCCUCGAGAUAUCCCAGAGCGUGACGGGGUUCGGGCGGCAGAUGAUCGAGAGGACGAAGCAGCUCGUGGAGGAGAAAUACGGGGGGCAGGGGGGGCACCAGGUCAAGGUGGUCUAUGGGGACACGGACUCGGUGAUGUGCCGCCUGGGGGUCCCGUCGGU